UGAGAGCGGCGCACGGGUGCGGAACACGUGUGCAACCUGCCUUUAUCUGGGGGAUAGCCUUUCGAAAGGAAGAUUAAUACCCCAUAAUAUAUUGAGUGGCAUCACUUGAUAUUGAAAACUCCGGUGGAUAGAGAUGGGCACGCGCAAGAUUAGAUAGUUGGUGAGGUAACGGCUCACCAAGUCAAUGAUCUUUAGGGGGCCUGAGAGGGUGAUCCCCCACACUGGUACUGAGACACGGACCAGACUCCUACGGGAGGCAGCAGUGAGGAAUAUUGGACAAUGGGUGAGAGCCUGAUCCAGCCAUCCCGCGUGAAGGACGACUGCCCUAUGGGUUGUAAACUUCUUUUAUACUGGGAUAAACCUACCCUUCGUGAGGGUAGCUGAAGGUACAGUAUGAAUAAGCACCGGCUAACUCCGUGCCAGCAGCCGCGGUAAUACGGAGGGUGCAAGCGUUAUCCGGAUUUAUUGGGUUUAAAGGGUCCGUAGGCGGACUCGUAAGUCAGUGGUGAAAUCUCAUAGCUUAACUAUGAAACUGCCAUUGAUACUGCGGGUCUUGAGUAAAGUAGAAGUGGCUGGAAUAAGUAGUGUAGCGGUGAAAUGCAUAGAUAUUACUUAGAACACCAAUUGCGAAGGCAGGUCACUAUGUUUUAACUGACGCUGAUGGACGAAAGCGUGGGGAGCGAACAGGAUUAGAUACCCUGGUAGUCCACGCCGUAAACGAUGCUAACUCGUUUUUGGGUUUUCGGAUUCAGAGACUAAGCGAAAGUGAUAAGUUAGCCACCUGGGGAGUACGUUCGCAAGAAUGAAACUCAAAGGAAUUGACGGGGGCCCGCACAAGCGGUGGAUUAUGUGGUUUAAUUCGAUGAUACGCGAGGAACCUUACCAAGGCUUAAAUGGGAAUUGACAGGUUUAGAAAUAGAUCCUUCUUCGGACAAUUUUCAAGGUGCUGCAUGGUUGUCGUCAGCUCGUGCCGUGAGGUGUUAGGUUAAGUCCUGCAACGAGCGCAACCCCUGUCACUAGUUGCCAUCAUUCAGUUGGGGACUCUAGUGAGACUGCCUACGCAAGUAGAGAGGAAGGUGGGGAUGACGUCAAAUCAUCACGGCCCUUACGCCUUGGGCCACACACGUAAUACAAUGGCCGGUACAGAGGGCAGCUACUAUGCGAAUAGAUGCGAAUCUCGAAAGCCGGUCUCAGUUCGGAUUGGAGUCUG
rnacentral:rRNA from 1 species